UUUUUCAGCGGAACAACAUUAACGUGUUCUUUCUCCUUCCUCUCCAUAUCUCAUCCUCCCUUCACCACCACCAUUUCACACAAAAAUCACCAUCUCACCACCGUCCCAUCCUCACCAUCUCACCACCGUCCCAUCCUCACCGUUAUCAUCUCACCAUUCCUUCUUCUUUCUUCCUCUCCGCAAACAACCGCCGACAACGAUCCUCUCGCCUGAAACAAAAACUCAGAUACUAAUUUCACCAUUCCUUCUUCUUUCUUCAAUUUCUUUUCGAAAUCCUUAAUUUGCUUCAACCUGUUUUUAAUCCCUAUUUUUCUAAUCUUUCUUUCUAUGUGGUUUUGCAGAUACUCUCACGAGGAGGUAAAAUUUUCAUUCCUCAAAACCUAGCGGAGGAAUCGCAACACAGUCAGGAAAAAAUUGGAAGGAAGCUAGGUGAAAAUUUCUUUUCUAGAAGCUAUACGUGGUUCUGACAAGGGAAUAGCUUCAGACUUUUGCUUACCAUGUCCGAGGCAUCUUCAUACCAAUGGAAAAGUGUUAUUCAGCUAUUAUAUUAGGUUUUCCUCUUGGUUUUGUUGCUGCUGUUAAGAGAAAUGGAGUUUAAAGCUUUCAGGUAUUUAUAAAAAUGGUGUCUUCUUCAUCAUUCUGGCUAUAAACUUGCUAAAAACUUUAGAAAAAAAUGGCCUUGACUAUUGCUACUGAGUUCAAUGUUGGUAGGAUAUUGUUUGUCUCUCUUCCCCAAUUCAAAAGCUGAAAGACAAAGUUGGUGAGCAUUCUGCAGUUAUUAAAGAGUAUUUGAUGCCAAAGUUUGGUGAAGCUGUUUUGAGUGGUGAUGAGAAAUCACCAACUGAAAGUGUUACUAAGAGAUCAUUCCCCACGUACCAAGAAGAUAUGGAUCUGCCAUUAAAGUUGCUCAAGAGAAGUAUUAAGAUUGAAAUAUUUCACUCAUGUAUUUUGCCCAACUAAUUCAUUCAAUAUGCACAUGAUGGGGAUGCAUAAGCUAUCAGUGCAACCUGGGAAGACUAUAUGAUGUAUGAAGUUGAGCUAAACAUAGGUUAUUUGAUAAAAGAAGAGGGAGGAGGAUCUUGUAGCAAUGCAAUGGAUGGGAAAAUUUAUUAAUGCAUUAGUUGUUUUCGAUUGUUUUUGUUUUCCCUUAAUUUUGUUAAUGCAUUGUGUGAUUCUAAGUUGUACAAAUAAAUCUUAAGUGUUAAAACUUUAUGGCACCCAAGCAUUCAUCUAUAAUUAUACUUUGUUUACACUAUUUAAAUCUUAAGUGUUGAAACUUUAUGGCA